AGCCCCCGCAUUGCCUGGCAGUCAGACGUAGACGCAGAAGAACUCUCACCGGCAGGUAGGCAACAAAGGAUGCUUUAUGGAGACUGUAGUUAUCAAAGGAUGAGAACGGCUACAUUUCUGGCAACGGGAAAGGGAAUCCCUUUUAUGUUUUAAUGUGCCAAAGGUUUCAGAGUAAACAGAGAGGGAGAAACAGCAUGAAGCUUGUUUGGAGUCUUUCAAAUGAAUGGAAAGAUGAAGAACGAAUCCAGCGACAUCAUUGUCCCGUUCAAGGGAAAUGUUUCAAGCAUAAGUCAAAGGUAACGUGAUACUUGACACAGAAUUAAAGGAAAUCAAUAGGAA